UUUUGAGACAGAGUCUCGCUCUGUCACCCAGGCUGGAGUGCAGUGGCGUGAUCUCGGCUCAUUGCAACCUCCGCCUCCUGGGUUCAAGCAAUUCUCCUGCCUCAGCCUCCUGAGUAGCUGGGAUUACAGGCGCCCGCCACCACUCCCAGCUAAUUUUUGUAUUUUUAGUAGGGACGAGGUUUCACCAUGUUGGUCAGGCUGGUCUCAAACUCCUGACCUCGUGAUCUGCCCUCCUUGGCCUUCCAAAGUGCUGGGAUUACAGGCGUGAUGGAGAUGAUACUCCCUAAAUCACAAGGGUGUGGUGUGAAGAUGAAAUGGCUGCACGUGACAGAGGAGUUGGAGAACAGGAAGCAAGUGGAUUACUUGGAUGAACUGUGAUGGGCCCAAGAAGAACUAAGCCAAUCACUCCAGGGGGCGUUUUCCCAGGAUCCAGGCAGAGAGCUGAUUCCAGCAUCCACGUUGUAUCCCCCUCCCGCUGUGGCCGGGGUCUCCAAGAGCCGGGCACCCACUGCAGAGCUUCCAAGCCCAGGCCCAUUUGAACACAGGAGGACUUUUGAGGUUCAUUUAACCCCAAAAUCAGUGAUUCUACAUCUCAAGCUCAUAUUUUGAAGUGUUUACGGAUUGAUCCCAGACACUGCCACCCCCAGCCCUGUGAACACCAAAACCCAUGGAUGCUCAAGUCCUUGAUAUAAAAUGGUAUGGUAUUUGCACAUAACCUACACACAUCUUCCCAUAUACUUUAAAUCAUCACUAGAUUACUUAUAAUACCUAAUGCAAUGUAAAUGCUAUGUAAGUAGUUGCUACGCUGUAUUGCUUAGGGAAUAAUGACAAGAAAAAAAGGCUGUACAACUUCAGUACAAAUGCUAUCAUUCAUUUUUUUAUCUGAAUAUUAUGAUCCAUGAAUACAGAGGGCUGGCUGUAAAAAGAAUGUACAGUUUGGUACUUUACUCCUAGUUUAAGUCAUCUCUUUCGGCCCAUACAGGUUGCCUGGGGCAGGGCGGUGGUGAGUGUGUUGAGUCGGCCCUAUACCCUGUUCCACAAUGCCUGGUGUCCUUGGCACGUAGCUUGCAGGGCUGCUUCCAUGGAUGGCUGCCUCAUCCCCCACCCCUCCUUCAUGGCACCCUCUUUUCUCCAACUCCUUUUCCUCUGCUGAGUCCUACCUUUUCUUGCCAGACCAGGGAUUUGCCAAUUAUUCUGGAUGGGCACAGGGAAGGGGCCCUCAGAUCCUGCAGAGGGAGCAUCUGAAAGACAAUGAGACCCUGUACACAACCAAGCUGAGCCUCCUCGUUGGUGCAUGCAUGGAUCCAGGAAGAGCAGCUGCCUUUGUGAUCCCGCGCCCCGGUCCUCGGCCUCUCACCUCCAGCGCCGGGGCGCCCCCUGCUGUCGGAAGCGGCUGUGACCGGGCAGAGGUGCUAUCUGGGACUCUGGGUUCUCAGCCCGGGGACAGCGAACCGAGGGGCAGAUGAUCCAUCAGAAAAGAGCCGGCACUGCCCAGCCCCGCGCCCCUGCCCCUGCCUUUUUCCGGGAGCGCGCCGCGCCGCACCCGCUACGGCCGCUUGACCCCAUCUUUGAGCCCGGCCCCAAGCUCUGGGACCGUCGUGCCCCUCAUCAAGGAAGAGCCAAGGACCCCAAGGAGAAGAGAAAGGAGUUCAUGAAGGCAGAAAUGCCUGGGGCCCACGAACAUCCCAGUGUGGCCCUGGACGGGACAUCAUGCUGGGCAACACAGCUAAAAUGCGGGUGAAGACCAGAUUUCUUGCACAUGGCGGUGACGGGAUGCUCCCUAGAGAGCUUCAAGUGGAUUCUUUGCUUUUUAUUUUCUCUCUUAAUAAAAAUGUAUGAUGUUUACAUUGUCAGAGAACAAACAGAACUGUGGCUUGUGUUUCA
rnacentral:lncRNA from 10 species